rnacentral:rRNA from 1 species
GAUGAACGCUGGCGGCGUGCUUAACACAUGCAAGUCGAACGAUAAAGCCCAGCUUGCUGGGUGUGUUCGUGGCGAACGGGUGAGUGAAACGUGAGUAUCAUGUGCUUAACUCUGGGGUAUGCCUGGAGAACUCUGGCUAAUAUAGGAUAUAAGCGCCUCCCGCACGGUGUGGGUUGUGGAGAUUUAUCGGUUUUGGAUGGACUCGCGGCCUAUCUCCUUGUUUGGGUGGUAAUGGCGCACCCAGGCGCCGACGGGUAUCCGGCCUGGGAGGGGGACCGGGCACACUGGGAAUGAGACACGGGCCAGACUCCUUCGGGGGGCAAGAGGGGGGAAUAUUGCACCAUGGGGGAAAGCCUUGAGGAGCGAACCCGGGGUGGGGAAGACGGGCUUCGGGGUGUAAACCUCUUUCAGUCGGGAAGAAGCGAUAGGUAAGGUACCUGGAGAAGAAGGACCGGCUAACUACGUG